GAGAAAGAGAUACAGAGGCCAGCGCCCAAGCACAGGAGUGUGUCCUCAUGGAGUCGGGGUUCACCAUCUCCCAGCAGGUGGACGGGCCUGUCAACCUUGAGGUUUUCCAGACCCCAGGGUUUGGGAUUUUUUUAAUGGAAGCCUCAUGAUUCAGAUAUGUUCAAUUAUUAACUCAAUCUCCAGCCCCUCUCCCCGUCCCAGAGAAUGGGGGCAGGGAGGAUUUGAAAAGUCCAAACUUCUGAUUGUGGCUUAGUCCUUCUGGUGACCAGUCCCCACCUAGGAGUCCACCAAGAGUCGCUUCAUUUGAACAAAGAAUAUGUUCCUAUCACCUAGGAAACGCUAAGAGACUUUGGAACCCUGUGUCAUUUGAACAAAAAAAGAUACUCCUAUGGCUUGGAAAUCGUAAAGGUCAUAGAGCUCUGUGCCAGGAACUGAGAGCAGAGAUCAAAUAUAGCUUCACUAUUAUAUCCGUGCUGUGGCUUGAAUAUGUCGUCUCCAGAUUCAGAUGUUGCCAGUGUGAUAAUAUGAAAAGGUAGAAUGUCCAAGAGGAGAUGAGGCCAUGAGGGCUGCUUCUGUGUGAAUGGGAUUAGGUGCCCUUAGAAAGGGCCUUGACAGACAGUGUGCAUCUCUCUUCACCUUCUGCCUUCUGCUAUGGAAGACAUAGCAUUUUUUCCCUCCAGAGGACACACCACAAGGCGCCAUCUUGUCAGCAGAGACCUGACUCCUCAGACAAGCAAAUGUCCCAGUACCUUGAUCUAGAGAAUUCCCAGCCUCUAGAACUAGCUGGGGCCGUCUGGAAAACUGAGACAGUGAGAAGACCUCCCCCACUUCAAACCCCAAUUCUUAUGAUCAAGUCAACGAUUUCAGACAUGGUGCUCAGAGGAAUAGGAGCCUGCAUUUCUCCUGCAGAUAACAGAUAGUUUGCUGUGGAAUGUGACGUAACCUGUCCACUGAAGCCAGGGCUUGUUGCAGGAAAAUUGCUUCUUAGAGAAGAAAACAUGUGCAGG